UACGUAGGGUGCGAGCGUUAAUCGGAAUUACUGGGCGUAAAGCGUGCGUAGGCGGUUGGCAAAGUCAGCUGUGAAAGCCCCGGGCUUAACCUGGGAAUGGCGGUUGAAACUAGUCGACUAGAAUCUGGAAGAGGCGAGUGGAAUUCCCGGUGUAGCGGUGAAAUGCGCAGAUAUCAGGAAGAACACCCGUGGCGAAGGCGGCUCUCUGGGACGGUACUGACGCUGAGACGCGAAAGCGUGGGGAGCGAACAGG
rnacentral:rRNA from 1 species